rnacentral:rRNA from 1 species
GACGAACGCUGGCGGCGUGCCUAAUACAUGCAAGUCGAGCGAAGCGGCGGAUGGGUGAGUAACGCGUGGGUAACCUGCACUUAAGUCUGGGAUUCCAUUUGGAAACAGAUGCUAAUACCGGAUACUUAAGGAUGGACCUGCGGUGCAUUAGCUAGUUGGUAAGGUAACGUCUUACCAAGGCGAUGAUCCAUAGCCGAUGUGAGAGACGGAUCGGCCACAGUGGAACUGAGACACGGUCCAAACUCCUACGGGAGGCAGCAGUAGGGAAUAUUCCACAAUGGACGAAAGUCUGAGGGAGCAACGCCGAGUGUAUGAAGAAGGCCUUCGGGUUGUAAAGUACUUUCAGCGAGGAGGCGUUACUCGCAGAAGAAGCACCGGCUAACUCCGUGCCAGCAGCCGCGGUAAUUC